CCUACGGGAGGCAGCAGUGGGGGAUAUUGCACAAUGGGGGAAACCCUGAUGCAGCGACGCCGCGUGGGUGAAGAAGCGCCUCGGCGCGUAAAGCCCUGUCAGCAGGGAAGAAAAUGACGGUACCUGAAGAAGAAGCCCCGGCUAACUACGUGCCAGCAGCCGCGGUAAUACGUAGGGGGCAAGCGUUAUCCGGAUUUACGGGGUGUAAAGGGGGCGCAGACGGCGAUGCAAGCCAGGAGUGAAAGCCCGGGGCCCAACCCCGGGACGGCUCUUGGAACUGCGUGGCUAGAGUGCAGGAGGGGCAGGUGGAAUGCGUGGUGUAGCGGUGAAAUGCGUAGAUAUCAGGAGGAACACCGGUGGCGAAGGCGGCCUGCUGGACUGCAACUGACGUUGAGGCCCGAAAGCGUGGGGAGCAAACAGGAUUAGAUACCCCAGUAGUC
rnacentral:rRNA from 1 species